rnacentral:misc_RNA from 1 species
UACAUAGGUCGCGAACGUUAUCCGGAUUUACUGGGCGUAAAGAGUGCGCAGGCGGUUUGAUAAGUUAUUGGUAGAAGCAGAGCCCAACUCUGCGGAGGCUGAUAAUACUGUCGGGCUCAGAGGGGAGAAGAGGUUAGUGGAAUUCUGUGUGUAGCGGUAAAAUGCGUCAAUCUACAGAGGAACACCAAAAAAGGCGAAGGCAGCUAACUAUUCUUACCCUGACGCUACAGCACGAAGGUAUGGUUAUCGACGGGG